UUUUUUCAGUUACCCACCUCGGAAGAUCAAGACAGUUGGAAAGGGCUUUUGAUAUUGUGGAAGCGUUUUCUCACAGAGCUUGCUUAUCAGACAAAGGCUAUUUAACUACAUCAGAAAGAUAAAGACAGUUGGAAAUGGCUAUUCAUAUUGUGGAAAAUUUUCUCACAGAGCUUGAUAAUCAGGCAAAAUGCUGGAACACCAUUGAAAGAGUAUUUGAUGUAUGAUAACAACAAGAGAACCCAAGCAUCAAUUUAUUAUAUACUUCUGGGAAAGAAUGCAUUUGAC